UACGUAGGGGGCAAGCGUUGUCCGGAUUUAUUGGGCGUAAAGAGCGUGUAGGCGGCUUUACAGGUCCGUUGUGAAAACUCGAGGCUCAACCUCGAGACGCCGGUGGAAACUGUAAGGCUAGAGUCCGGAAGAGGAGAGUGGAAUUCCUGGUGUAGCGGUGAAAUGCGCAGAUAUCAGGAGGAACACCCGUGGCGAAAGCGGCUCUCUGGGACGGUACUGACGCUGAGACGCGAAAGCGUGGGGAGCAAACAGG
rnacentral:rRNA from 1 species